CACGCCGUAAACGAUGUUCACUAGGUGUUGGGGGUAUUGACCCCCUCAGUGCCGCAGCUAACGCAUUAAGUGAACCGCCUGGGGAGUACGGUCGCAAGACUAAAACUCAAAGGAAUUGACGGGGGCCCGCACAAGCGGUGGAGCAUGUGGUUUAAUUCGAUGCAACGCGAAGAACCUUACCUGGGCUUGACAUCCCGGGAAUCCCCUGGAAACAGGGGAGUGCCCUUCGGGGAACCCGGAGACAGGUGC
rnacentral:rRNA from 1 species